rnacentral:rRNA from 1 species
UACGAAGGUCCCCGAGCGUUGUUCGGAAUCACUGGGCGUAAAGGGAGCGUAGGCGGCGCGGUAAGUCAGAUGUGAAAUCCCGGGGCUCAACCCCGGAACUGCAUCCGAUACUGCCGUGCUAGAGGAUUGGAGAGGUAGCUGGAAUUCUUGGUGUAGCAGUGAAAUGCGUGGAGAUCAAAGAGGAACACUCGUGGCGAAAAGCG